rnacentral:rRNA from 1 species
UACGUAGGGUGCGAGCGUUGUCCGGAAUUAUUGGGCGUAAAGAGCUUGUAGGCGGUCUGUCGCGUCUGCUGUGAAAAUCCGGGGCUCAACCCCGGACUUGCAGUGGGUACGGGCAGACUAGAGUGUGGUAGGGGAGACUGGAAUUCCUGGUGUAGCGGUGAAAUGCGCAGAUAUCAGGAGGAACACCGAUGGCGAAGGCAGGUCUCUGGGCCACUACUGACGCUGAGAAGCGAAAAGCAUGGGGGAGCGAACAGG